UAACUGCUCUCAGCUACAGCAGCUGGAUUACCGUCUCCCUCUUUAACUAAACAGCUAACUAGCCUACAAAACAGGAAAACGUUCAACAGAAUAUACUUCCGUUGACAAAACUGUUACAUAUAUGUAUAUUGUUUAGCAAUAUUUUAGCUAAUAAGUAUCGUUUAAUAGUACUGGUCACAACCCAUUCAGCAUUUAGGACUCUGUUCUGUGUUGUACGUUACAUACCUUGCCCAUUGGCUCUGUGUGUUUGUGUGCGCGCGUGUGUCUUUGCUUUAGCAUUUAUCUGGAAUGUAUUGCAUAACAAGGCAUUGCAAUGGCUUUUAAAUUUUCCAGCUUUGUUAUGCUAUAUAUAUAUAUAUAUAUAUAUAUAUAUAUAUAUAUAUAUAUAUAUAUAUAUAUAUAUAUAUAUAUAUAUAUAUAUUUGACCCUAUUUGAAAAGUCAUUACUCCAUGUCGCAGCGCUCAUCAAAUGAAUAAAACAAAUCUGUGAUCAUAUUGGUUGAUAAAGUCUGUAAACUGGCACUAAUAAAUCCAUAAUUCUUGAUAUUUCAUUAUUUAGGACUAGUUUAUCCUUUUUAGUAAUGUAGAAAACUAUCUUUCAAUAUACUGAGUAUUGCAGUUGUUGUUUUCAUUACUAUCAUGUGCAAUGCAUUGUUAUAAUACUGUAUCGUAAAAUGCCCUGUAAAUCCAACCCCUAAUAUCAAUGAAUCAUCCAACCCUAAGAAACAUAAGCCUCUUUAAAGUAUCCUAAAAAGGAUCAAUAUGGACGGAUGCCUGAAAACGUUUUCAGCAGACAAGGUUUUAGCAUUACACACAAUCAUACAUGAGCAUCCCCUGCCCCCUGUCACCCCCAACUCCUUCUUUAGUAUUUUUUAUUGGAAUUUGACCCCUUAUGACCUUGACCAGCCCUCUUUGGGAUUUCACACACUUGGCUGGUCUAGUGCUUUUAUUGUGGUUUCUUCCUCUUUCUGCUGCAUUAGAGAAGGGUAUAAACUUUACUUUUUUAGUGAUUAAUAAUGUUUUAACAAAUGCAGAUCAGAUUACAGAGAUAUUGAAUAAGGCUUAAAAUCAGAUAUGAUUUAAGUCUUACUGAGAGUUGGUGUGCAAUGAAUAGGAUUCUUGUAGAAUGACUUUACAGGACCAGUAUGUUCAGCUGGCAUGCAUAAUCUUUUUUUAACUCCAUGCAUGUAUCUUGUAUUUUUAGACCAUAUAAUGUAUAAUUUAGACCAUUUUUUCUUAAUACUAGGUAGAACAGUGGUAGCAGUUAAAACACCACCACUACACAUCCAAAACAUUGAUUCACAGUGAUUCACUGGGAAACAUUCAAACCCUUCUGCCUUGAACAGGGCUUUAGAUAAAUAAUUAUCAAGACUGUGUUUCUGGCACUAGGGAGGAUAUUCAUAACUCUUUGGCGUAAACCCUUUUUGAGUGGGAGAUUUAAGAUGAUCAGAAGUGCUUCAAUUCACCACCACUUUGAAUGAAAAAUCUGAACUAUGUUGUUUACAUCUUUAAUUGUUCUGAAAAUUUUGAAACAUCACUGAAAUUCCUUUACAUGUAUAACAUACAUCUGUGCUAGAAUGAUGAAGUCUAUUUGUGUUAGGUUGAUUAGAUAACGUGGUCAAUGAAAGGCUGAGUGGUGAACAUGAUAAAUACUUACCGGCAGUACUGGACUGGGACAAAAAAUCGGCCCUGGCGUUUUUGGUUUAGACCGGCUCCUUAUAAUUUGCGAAGCACAACCAACUUGUAAUUUAUGUAUGUGGGGUUACAGGGAAGAAUGAUGUAUCAUCAACAUAUUAAAUUCAAUAUAGAGUUCAAUUCUUUUUUUUUUUUAGGUUAAAGUGCUUCCUCCUUUAAACAGCUAUAACAUGUAUUUGUAUCAGGCUACAAACAGAGCAUUCUGUAUAGCCUCACCAUUAUCAACUUCAUAAUAAAAAUUGAACUUUAUUAAUAUAUUAUAAUGUUUUUUGAGAUGGAAUGUUGUAACGGGGCUCAAGCUCUUUUAUUAAAUGCUUGAAACCAGGGUUCUCUCCCACUCUUAUCAUGAGAGGAUCUUUUAAUCUAGGUAGAACGAACAAACAAUGAGCAUGAUUGUGGCGCUUUAUUAAAAACAAAAACAACAGCAUUACUUUAACUACAAAUAUUUUUCCUUAUUACUGGAUGCAUUUUAGUGUUCUUUUUAAGAAAUAUCAGCUUUAAAUUGAUAAAAUUAAAUUAUAUUAGUGGUGUCAAUCACUUACAUCAGAGAGAGAGAGUGAGCGAGAAAAAGAGACAGUCAGAGAGAGUGAGCGAGAGACAGAGAAAAAAAAGGGAGAGAAAGAGAGAGAGCGAAAAAAGAGAGAGACAGUCAGAGAGAGAGGGAGCGAGCGAGAGACAGAGAAAAAAAGGAAAGAGCGAGAGAGAGAGAGCGCUCGCGAUUAGGCGAGCGAGAGAGACCCCCUCUAACUUGUGGGCCGGUCUCUUAGAAAAAAAGGAAGAAAAAAAAUCUGCAUCGGCCCCUGAGGACUGUCGGCCCACCGGGCAUUUACCCGGUACUCCAGAUUACCAGUCCAUCCCUGCUUACCGGGUUGUAAUAAUGCUUUCUGCAUUGCUGUCCACUGGCCUAUAAAAUCCCUUUGGUGAAAGGAAUGUUGGCACUGAGAGAGGGGGUUUUGUUUGCUGCUUGAGUGAAAGAAGAAUUUUAUUCAUUUAUUUUCAGUCUCUUUUCAUCAGGCUGUAGAAACAUGAUCAAGAAAAGUGAUGGAAAAAGUUCACUAAAUUGCAAUAGUGUUAAUCAAAUUUAAAUAAACUUGUAAAUAAAAUAAAGUAUUCUAAACAGAUAAUUACAAUAUAUUAUCAUUUACAACUUAUUGAUACUAAAACAGCUAAAACAUGCCAUUUAAAUUUACAUUUUUACUGUGAAUCAAUGUAAUUUCAGAUUGAGCAGACUAAAAUCAAGAUUGUAUUUGGAAACUUUAAUUAAAGAAAAAAGACGCCUCAUGGGGGUUUGGCCUUUUGGUUUUAGUAAAGGUUUGUCACUUUGUUGCAGUUGGUUGCAGAUACCUGUUUUCAUCAACAACUUUUUAAAGAACAUUUUCCUGAUGUGUCACUGAUAAGGGGACUCGCAUCGUCAUAAAAGUGGAACACAAGUGAAACUAUACUUUAUUCAAAUCAUUUACAGUCAAAUGAGGCAUUAUGCAUAUGGAAAACUAAGACAAACUUUUUUGUAAAGAAAAAUGUGUCAAUCAGAAAGGAACAUCUGUGUGUUUUCAUUUCUGCAUAAUGGGUGGUUUAAAUGUAAACAAAGUCAUUCAGACUGUGUUGGUGGAAACCUGUUCUAGAGAAUUGUAGGGAAGUCUGAACUUUUAUAGUGGUGGUGAAUGGAACCAGGUGUCUUAAGAGUUAAAUGCCUCUAAAAGCUGUCUUACAUAGUCUUAGCAAAUGAUUAUAAAUACACUGCCUGAGCAUUUUUUUAUGUGAUACAUACAGGGUGGUGUGUAGGAAAACAAAUCAAAAAAAGAUUCAGCAUUUUUUGGAUUAGUAAAGAUGCCUGGUUCCUGUCACCACCACUCAAAAAUGCUAUUUUCUUUUAAAGAAAACUUUUAAACCCUUGUCUGUUGGACAGCCUUUAUUGUAAAAUAGCAAUGUGCUCAAACACGUCUACUAGAAAUUCCUAGUACAGUUUAUUUGCUAAUUGUCAUCUGUAAAAGUGUCUUCUGACACCCCUAUAUUGAAUUGCUUUCUCUAUCUCUGUUUUUUCUUUUGCUUCAACAGUGCACUUCUAGUUGUUUGGCAUUUAUAUUUCUGCUCUUUUGUUUCAUUAAAGUGACAGGGCAGAUUUUUACAGUCAUGUUUUAUAAUCAGGUUUACUUCGGCGUGUAAUUUUAGAACAUAUAGUAAGAAUCAGUAUAGGGUUUGGCGGUAUUUAAAUAUGGUGAUGGUAUUGUAAAAUGGUGAUGGUAUAUUAACCACAUGAUGUGCCAAAUCUGUACUUUUGAAAAAUGGGACAUUUAAGACAUUCUGCGUAUCCACAAGGACAGGUGUGCUGGUGCAGGCUGGCAUAAGGACAGGUGGAGGCUUGUGCUGGUGCAGGCUGGCAUAAGGAAAGGUGGAGGCUUGUGCUGGUGCAGGCUGGCAUAAGGACAGGUGGAGGCUUGUGCUGGUGCAGGCUGGCAUAAGGACAGGCAUAAGGAAAGGUGGAGGCUAGUGCUGGUGCAGGCUGGCAUAAGGACAGGUGGAGGCUUGUGCUGGUGCAGGCUGGCAUAAGGACAGGUGGAGGCUUGUGCUGGUGCAGGCUGGCAUAAGGACAGGCAUAAGGAAAGGUGGAGGCUAGUACUGGUGCAGGCUGGCACAAGGACAGGUAAAAGCUUUUGCUGGUGCAGGCUGGCAUAAGGACAGGUGGAGGCUUGUGCUGGUGCAGGCUGGCAUAAGGACAGGCAUAAGGAAAGGUGGAGGCUAGUGCUGGUGCAGGCUGGCAUAAGGACAGGUGGAGGCUUGUGCUGGUGCAGGCUGGUAUAAGGACAGGUGGAGGCUUGUGCUGGUGCAGGCUGGCAUAAGGACAGGCAUAAGGAAAGGUGGAGGCUAGUACUGGUGCAGGCUGGCAUAAGGAAAGGUGGAGGCUAGUGCUGGUACAGGCUGGCAUAAGGACACUUGGAGGCUUGUGCUGGUGCAGGCUGGCAUAAGGACAGGUGGAGGCUAGUGCUGGUGCAGGCUGGCAUAAGGAAAGGUGGAGGCUAGUGCUGUUGCAGGCUGGCAUAAGGACAGGUGGAGGCUUGUGCUGGUGCAGGCUGGCAUAAGGACAGGUGGAGGCUUGUGCUGGUGCAGGCUGGCAUAAGGACAGGCAUAAGGAAAGGUGGAGGCUUGUGCUGGUGCAGGCUGGCAUAAGGACAGGUGGAGGCUAGUGCUGGUGCAGGCUGGCAUAAGGACAGGUGGAGGCUAGUGCUGGUGCAGGCUGGCAUAAGGAAAGGUGGAGGCUAGUGCUGUUGCAGGCUGGCAUAAGGACAGGUGGAGGCUUGUGCAGGCAAGGAAAGGUGGAAGAUUUAUGUAAUUUUAUUACAUGACAAAUUCCCAUUUACUUUUUUUAGAUAAUUUUUACACAAACCUAUCAAAUAAACAUUACAUAAUGCAUAUUCAUUCGUGUAAUAAAGCCUAUUUAUUUUAAAUGCAUAAUAAUCAGGUUUAUGUACUGAGUAUAAAUAAAGUAUAAGUACUCUAAAUUAAUAAUACUAAUGAGUGUAUUUAAUUCAAAUACAUAAAGUAUAUUGUUUGAAUUACAAUAAGCAUUAUCAGGUUACCUACACAAAAUAAAUAGCAUAUAUUUAUUUGAAUUACAUGUCAUUUAUGUUUAUGAAAUAAACCAAAUUAAUUAAAAUGCAUCACAUUUAUGCAAUUUAUUUUAGUUCAGUACAAUCUUAAUAAAAACGAUGAGACCACCUUGUUGUUUAAUCAAAUCUUUAUUAAUAUUAAAGCCUAGCAUUAAAAAAGAGACUUUCUUAAAAUCACAUUUCAAUCAUACUUAUGUUGACGAAUGAAAGUUUGGCGUUUGAACAUUCACAAGACCCUAGUUUGGCAAAAUGUUCCUUCAAUAUUACAAAAAAAAGGCUAGUUGAGUGACAACAGACUUUGGUAGGAACUGAAGUACUUUUUUAGAACAAAUAUCAUUUAAACACUUGGAGAACUCCAGUGUAAAAUUGACUUUGGCUAUAGUAAAACUUGAAAAAGAAUACUAACCUUUGAUGAAUAUCCCACCUCCAUUCUCCCACAACUAGAAGAUAAAGCAAUUUUGUUUGUUUGUCCAAACAGACUUAGAAUGGGUGGUACAAGGCAUUCUUAACACCUUUUUACAUCAUUAUCCAGCUCAAAGUAGCUCCACAACCCAUUGGUAGAAUCCAGAGAACCCUGACAUCUAAAGCAAGGCAUUAAGAACUUUAAUGUGUAACUUUAGUGUCCAAUCCGUAGUGUAAGAUAAAUCUCCGGGUGCAGCCAUCUUAAAGUUAAGUCAUUGCAAGUUGAAUGCUGAGCACGAAUUAAUUGGUAGUACAGAGGAGCCAUUUUUUUAAAAUAAUUCAGUGGAAACGCAUGCAUUCCAGCUAUAGCUGAAAAUAUCUGGUUAUUGGUGAUAUGAGAUGGAAGAACACACACACAAAAAAAAUAUUGUUCAUGCUCAGCACUCGACUAGCCAUGACUUUAUUUUAAGAUGGCGGUGUCUGGACUCUGUGGGAUGCCUUGUUUUAGAUUUCAGGGCUCUGCGGAUUCUAGCAAUGAUUUGUGGAGCUACUUUGAGCUGGAUAAUGGUGUAAAAAGUGAUUUAUCUGCAAGGGCAAAAUAUGCACUGGAUCACCCAUUCUAAAGCCUGUUUGGACAAAAAAACAAAAUUGCUGGAUCUCGGAUCGCUGCGGGAGAACAGAGAUAUUCACCAAAGGUUAGUAUUCUAUCAUGUUUUACUACAGCCAAAGUCAAUUUCACACCGGUACUCUCCUUUAACUUGAAGAAAAAUCUUUGAGUUGAGCUGAGCCACUACAACAACGCCAGCUAACAUUUUAGAAAAUACCCAUCCCCAAUGAGAAGGAGUAAACCUUAUCCCUACAGGAGCUUAGGAGAGAGGAGGUGAGUAGAGAAAGCAGAGGGUAGAAGAGAGGGAGAGGUUUGCCUCCUGUCCUACAAUCCCUGCAACAGUUUUUCAUAUAUACAUAACUGAUCUUUCAACAAAAUUUUAAUGCUUCGACAACCAAUGUACAAAUUUAUCAAACAGCUAUUUCACUGGCGUAACCUUCAAGAACCAAGGGACCAUUUCAACAAAAUCCGGUCUUACUGUGUGUGGGGGAGGUGGUAGUUGCCAACCGAAUCACUGGAGCAAAUUGAGUUUCAGUGCAUGUACUUUUGGUGUAAGCUUAGUUGAGUCCAGGUCCAUCAGGGUUUUCUGGUACACCUCAAAUGUACCCUUCAGGCCUUUUGGAUUGCUCAAGUUGAGUGCAUAAAUCUGCCCAUAAAGCAGUGAGAACGGAGAAAGUCAACGCCUUUCAGCACAACACCAACAUCUGCAAAGCGUCCAUCACCUGGACAAUCAGGACCAUGUCCCUCUGCUCAGACAGUGUAGAUGCCCAUAGUCUUCUCUGCAAUGCCAGCCUCAGCCUCUCUGGAUUCAAUGUCCUGGAAUAUAAAGAGAAGAGAGUUCUGUGUGACACUAACCAUGACCACCAAAAUCUAAGCAGCUCUAAGAUGCAUUUUGUUUUCUUGUUAACAUGAGAUUAUACACAGGAAAUUUGGCAGUGUUAAAUCAACACUGUUAGUGUUAAAUCAACACUGUUAGUGUUAAAUCAACACUGUUAGUGUUAAAUCAACACUGUUAGUGUUGUGUUAAAUCAACACUGUUAGUGUUGUGUUAAAUCAACACUGUUAGUGUUGUGUUAAAUCAACACUGUUAGUGUUAAAUCAACACUGUUAGUGUUGUGUUAAAUCAACACUGUUAGUGUUAAAUCAACACUGUUAGUGUUAAAUCAACACUGUUAGUGUUGUGUUAAAUCAACACUGUUAGUGUUAAAUCAACACUGUUAGUGUUGAUUUAACACUAACAGUGUUGAUUUAACACUGCCAAAUUUCCUGUGUACACAGACUACUGUCAAAUUGUGCACUUUUCUAUCAAGGUGACAACAACAAUUAAAACUGACAAUUAUCCUUAAGACUAACUCUCACAUGUUUAUGGGUUGAUCCCCCACUGAGGUCGAUCUCCUCACUUUAAUACAGGGAUUUCUGGCGCGACUGCAGAGACUGCUCUUUUCCCAGUGAAGCCUUUGACCUGCCAGAAAAAAAUACAAUUAACAAAACAUAACUAAAACCAACUAAAAAUAUGUAUGUAUAUAUAUAUAUAUAUAUAUAUAUAUAUAUAUAUAUAUAUAUAUAUAUAUAUAUAUAUAUAUAUAUAUAUACAGAACCAGGAACCCCCCCCCCCACUUAUUUUGUUGAAAGAUCAGUUAUGUAGAUUUGUAGAUUAUGUAGAUGAAAUAAACUGUUCAUUGAUGCAAGAAAAAUUGAAGGAAAGGAGGCAAACCGCUCCCUCUCUUCUACCCUCUGACUUCUCUACUCACCUCCUCUCUCCUAAGCUCCUGGAGGAGGGUAAGGUUUACUCCUCACAUAUCCAACCCUCUCCAGGCUUCCCCUCAUGGUUGAGUUGGAGGGAGGAUGAUGGGGAAGAGAAAGGACCAACCAUACUCUAUCCUAACCCUCUCUCUCCCCAUUUACCGCUUACCUGUUGGAAACAACCCCCUUCUAGUUAAUAUUCAACACCAAAAGCAAAAACAAUUCAUGUUUCCAACUACACUGCUUUAUGACUUACCUUUUGACAUAUGGCUUCAGCUUUAUGGACUGCCUCAGAUCCUCAGCUGCCUUUUGACAAAGAGAAAAACAAAAAUUAUUCCAUAGUUUCUCUUCAUGGGAAGCAAUCCUAAACAUGAAUGGUCUGCUUAAAGAGGAAAACAAAAUUAUCUUUGUAAACUACAUAGUUCACCAAAAAAAGGAAUAAGAACAAAGAAUCAAACAUACCAUGUAUUCUUUAACCAAUUUGUCCAGGUCUUUACUGAGGUAGAUACUCAGACAGCUCAGAACACAAUCACACCUCACAUUUAUGUCUUCAUUCUACAAAAAGAAAACAUAAUUUAUGGUUGUCAGUGACAAAGACACACUAACACACAGCUGAGACUAACAAUGUCAGUUACAUUUACCUACUUCACCACACCAGCACUUUGCUUUACCCCACUCAGGUAAAGCUCACUCAGUAAACAGUAAUUGUGAAAGGACCAGAAAAACUUUUGAAAAUAUUAGCUUUUCCUUAUAGCUCAGUCACACACACCAUAUCCUUAUCAGAUUAGAGAGAGAGAGAGAGAGAGAGAGAGAGAGAGAGAGAGAGAGAGAGAGAGAGAGAGAGAGAGAGAGAGAGAGAGAGAGAGAGAGAGAGAGAGAGAGAGAGAGAGAGAGAGAGAAACGUACACCAUAUAUCUGGGCCAUUAUGGCGGUGAUCUUUCCUCCUGCAGCUUCACAUUUGGCAUUAAUCACCUUAAUCAGGUUGUCUCUCUGACUGUCCAUACCUAACUCAUACCUAGUAGGUAAUGAACUGUCACACAAUUUGCAGCACCUGUAAAUGAAGAAAAAGAACAAUGAAUCAAUUAGAUCAUCUGUAAAAUGAGCUGAAAAUACCUGAAAAACCAACACAUCCAACCUUGUCCAAAAUCAAACUUUGUAAGCCUAAUGAGUUUUGUUGUACUGGGAAAUCAAUAAUUUACUGUUUUAACAUGCUUACUCUAAACAUUUCGAAUUGUAAACAUUUUAUCCAAUGGACUGUAAAUAAUAAUUUACAGCCCAUACUAACUACAAUAUGAACUACAUUUUGACGUGUACAUUUUUAAACUUAUACUUACUAAAUCUAUGUUGCAACAUGGAGGUGAGAAAACAGGAUAGGAGAAGUAGAAAAAUACUAGGUACCUGGAGAAAAAUAAUCUAACAUUAAGUUAUGUAACCCAAGCCAGUAAAUAAAUAAAUAAAAUAUAACAUUUAAAUAUAGUACUCUAAAAGGCAGUCAUUCACCUAACAAUAGCUAGCUAACAAAGUCCUGAUUCAUGACUCGUUCAGUUCUUUGGUUUAGUUAAUUACAGUUGAAAAGCUCACUUUACCAUAUGAAAAUCUUUACAUCUUUGAUCUACACUAAUUUUUCAUACAAAUGCGUUUGCAAAAAAAAAAAAAAACAAUCACAGAGUUUUCAGGUUAAUCUCUAAGCAAACAGACAGAGCCUAACUUAAUAUAAAAUGAAGAUGCUAAAUGCUGUGUACAAAGGGAAUAAUAUCUGGCCUGCUUAAUGUUAAUAUAAUUCGUUUUAACUGGCAUGAAAACAAACUGGAAAGGGUUAGUUUAAUCCAUUAUUGAGCUGUAUUACCAAAUUAGCCAAGAUGCCAUGUAAUAGCUAAUUGGUUAGCUGUAAUGCUAAUGGCAUUGUCUGGUACAGCAACGUGGCCAAGAUAAAACUGCUUAAAAUAAUCACACACUAACUUACAUAAAUGAAUUAAUAUCUGUGUAAUAUGAAGUAAACUACACAUUUAGGACACAUUUGGGAGUAAUACAACAUGUAUUGGAUUGCUUACCUUCUCACAUGGACGUAAGUUGCAGCUACAUUCAACCGCCAGUCCAGCCCAUAAUAGUUUUUUCUUCUUCUUCGAGUUUUACAGCAGUUGGCAACAAACUUAAAGGGGCAUUACCACCACCUACUGGCAGGACAUCGUUUCCAUUUUCCCCAUUUCACUUCUCAUAACUUUUAUGAAAACCAAUCACAUACAUUUUACAUAACAGAUUCUUGUUUGUUUUAGGGCUCUGAUUAUUUAAACCAUGUUAGUAUGUAUUAACUAAUUACAUUCAAUACAUUUUAAAAUUGGUUAAAUUAUCUAGAUAAUAAUAAAUUUAAAUGCAUAAAUAUAGAAAAUAUGUGCUUUUAAAUAAAGUCAAAUAGAUUUAAAUGCAUGAAAAUUAACUCUGCCAUGAAUCAUUUCUGUGAGUGCAGGUGGCAACUGGCCAGCAAGAUCUAUAGACAAGCUGUUAACUGUGGACCGUGCAGCUUGAUUCAUUAUUAUUUGAGCCUCAUUUAGCUGGAACACAAAGUCUGUGCUGUGGUGUUAGUAGUUAGCCUGUUAGCUUUGGUUAUUAGUCUGUGCUAGAGAUGGUACAGUUAGUGUUUUGGGACAGAUCGCCUUUUAACUAGACCGACUGCCAACACUGAUCCAGGGCGGGGCCGAAUGCCACAUUAAGCUUUCUGGACAAAUUUGGCCACCUCUAAACAAACACUAGAAAUCUAAGCUGGCUGGAUAUGAGAGUAUAUAUGUAUAUUAAUUCCCAUGACUCGUUGGUUAAUCAAUACUCAGGUUAGUUGAUCAAAAACAGCUAAACUGAUCUGUCUGAUAUUGCGCUAAUUUCUGUGUCUAUCAUUCUCAUCUAAACAUAAAGUUUCAGUCAGAAAGACUUGAGUGUGUUCUGUGGUGAACAGUAUGGUAGCUAUAAUGCUAGCUAAGUGAAGAAUUUUAACUAGCUGUGCUAAACAUUUUUUAAUUGCUGAUUGAUAAUUCAACACUUACUACAUGACCGCCUUAACGUGUAUCUUGUACAUUCCUGUUUUUGUACUGCUGCAGCAGCCAAAGGAAUUGGGAGUGACCUUUAAUCUAAACAUUUGAAAUAAUAUAAACAAUAUGAUAUUUAAACUUUCCACUGCUUUCUGUAAUAACUAUUUAAUAACAGUAUAUGUUUUACUCCCAUCACUUGAGAAGUAAAUUGUAAAAUAAACUACUUGCAAUACUUAGGUACAUAAAAUGUUGAAUACUUUACUACCACCAUUAAGCGUGGUGCUUAAAGAACUUCCAACUUCUACUCCAGUCAUUUUUUUCUACUUUUACUCAAGUCUGGGUCUCUUGUACUUUAUACAUGUCAGUUUUAAAUAUUGUACUUCUGUCAUGAUACAUUAUGCAGAACAUCUUCCCAUGCAAUAGGUCAAAUAGUUGUUUCAUCCAGUACAGGAAAUUAGAGAAGAGAAUGUGCUGUUAAAGUGUGAUUCAUUAAACAUACAAAAAGAAAUGACAAAACAUGGGCCACAGAUGAUGGAAAGAUAGAUAGAUAGAGAUAGAUAGAUACUUUAUUGAUCCCCGAGGGGAAAUUCUAGAAGAUUUAAAUUCUAAAAGAUCGAUCGGCUGUGUACCAGUGUUAUAGUUUUUAGACAAAUUAAGUUUUUUCCCUUGGGUUAGGUUAGGUUAGGGUUAAAGAGAUCAUCAGUUUAUAUUCGGGAGUCUGAUUGAGAUGCUGUGGCAUGAUAUUAAACAGGCCAUUUGUACAAAAAAAAUACAAUUAAUUCACACAGGGCGAGAUUGUUUUGAAUAUUUUUAUUUCUUUAAUAAAUAAAAUUAAUUAAAAACUUUUUUUAUAUUUACUCAGGUUAUCUUUGUCUGAUAUGAACGUUUGUUUAAUAAUUGGAAAAAUAUCAGUAUAACAAAAAAAAGCAAAAAAAUGUAUUUAUAUUAUACUUAUAUUUAAAUUAUUGUAUAAUAUAUAAAUACUUCUUUUCCUUUUUUACCAUUUAAAUUUUUAGUUCUUACAUUAAAAACUUCUGUUUUUGUAUUUGUAAACAAACAACACUAUUUAAAGUGAUGCACACAUAAUUUUUUCUUUUACAUUUAAUUUUAACAUUUUUAUAAAAAGCAAGCAACCACCUUCAAAUGUACAGGCAGCUCUUAUAUUGAAUAUGAUGCAAACAUAAUAUCCUUGUAUUUCAAUGCCAAGUUCCUGACAAAAGCAAAUGUCUAUCUACUGAGAUUUCAUUAUACGGUUUUGAAAAUCGCACAAAAACAAUAAUUUGAUUAUUUAAAUUAUUUUGAUUAACCUCCCAGCCAUAGUUGGGUUUUACAUUUAUAUAAAAUAUUUUUAUAUUAUUUUAAUAUAGGAUGCAAUUAAAAGAAUUGCAGCUUUUCUUUUUUUUGCUGGACUUCAGAGGUGUAUAUCUACUGUCAGUAUUCAACUUAAACUACUAUUUUGGCCUCCUGGUGCAAACACAACAAUCUCUCUCUGAACGCAGAGAAGACCAAGAAGAUUGUUGUGGAUUUCAGGAGAACUCACACACAGCACACUCCUCUGUCCAUCAACGGAACUGCUGUGGAGAGGGUGAGCGGCACCAAGUUCCUGAGUGUGCACGUCACAGAGGACCUCUCCUGGAACACCAACUCAGCACUGGGCAAGCUGAGAAGAGCUGGAGCCCCCAGCCCCAUCAUGAGCACCUUCUACAGAGGAGCCAUCGAGAGCAUCCUGACCAGCAGGACCCUCCAGCGCAUCGUGAGAGCAGCUGAGAAGAUUGUUGGCACCUCUCUCCCCUCCCUUCAGGACUUAUACAGCUCCCGCCUCACACGGAAAGCCCUCCGUCUGGCAGGAGAUCCCUCCCACCCACUACACAGCUUCUUCAGCCUGCUGCCAUCAGUGUCUCCCACUCUUAUAUAUUGUAUAUCUUAUUUCUUUUUAUAUAUAUUUAUAUAUCUUAUUUCACUCCCACCACUACUGCACCUUGUUUCUGUCUCAUGUAUGUCUAUUUUGUGUCCCUGCUGUAUUUUACACAUAGUGUCUCUCAUUCUCUUUUAUUAUAUCUAUUAUCUGUACUUUCUGUAAAAUUUGGGAAGGAGAGUAACGUAAUUUCAAUUCUCUGUAUAUCCUGAACAUAUGCAGUAUUGACA